rnacentral:misc_RNA from 1 species
GAUGAAGAACGUAGCGAAAUGCGAUAAGUAAUGUGAAUUGCAGAAUUCAGUGAAUCAUCGAAUCUUUGAACGCACCUUGCGCCCUUUGGCCAUUCCGAAGGGCAUGCCUGUUUGAGUAUCAUGAACACCUCAACUCUUCAUGGUUUUCCAUGAUGAGCUUGGACUUUGGGGGUCUUGCUGGCCUGUGGGUCGGCUCCUCUCAAAUGAAUCAGCUUGCCGGUUUUUGGUGGGCAUCACAGGUGUGAUAACUAUCUACGCUUGUGGUUUUCCACCAGGGUAACCUUCAGCAGUGGAGGUUCACUGGAGCUUACAAAUGUCUCUCCUCUGUGAGGACAGCCCUUUGAAUGUUUGAUCUCAAAUCAGGUAGGACUACCCGCUGAACUUAAGCAUAUCAAUAGCGGAGGA